rnacentral:rRNA from 1 species
UACGUAGGGGCAAGCGUUGUCCGGAUUUAUUGGGCGUAAAGAGCGUGUAGGCGGCCAGGUAGGUCCGUUGUGAAAACUGGAGGCUUAACCUCCAGCUGUCGAUGGAAACCAUCUGGCUAGAGUCCGGAAGAGGAGAGUGGAAUUCCUGGUGUAGCGGUGAAAUGCGCAGAUAUCAGGAAGAACACCCGUGGCGAAGGCGGCUCUCUGGGACGGUACUGACGCUGAGACGCGAAAAGCGUGGGGGAGCGAACAGG